rnacentral:sRNA from 1 species
UUUUACAAGAAAUUUAAACAAUAUAAAAGAUAUUAAUAUGGGACGAUAUACUGCAAGAGAAAUCUUAGAUAUAACACUCAAAAUUCAAUGAUGAAGUUUGGGUCAAUAUUAAUCUUUUUUGAAGUUUCUAAUUUUAUAAAUAUUUGAAAUUUAUAAUAAAAUGACAAAUUUGUGUUUAAUUUCACGGGACGGGGUUAUAUGGUGUGACGAGUUUGAGUGGAUUAUAACAUGGGAUGGUAUGCUACGGAAAAAACCUAUAAUUAACAAUCAUAAUAUAAUUAUAUAAUCUUAAACACUAAACAAAAUUAACAAUAUUAAAAAAAAACUUAAAACUUUAAUUUUUUAAAAUCACAUUUCGAUUCUUUUAUAAGAUUUCUCUCGCAGUACUACCACGGGUGAAAUCCUAGAAUUGACGGGUUUGAAUCGAUAUUAAUAUGGGAUGGUGUACUACGGGUGAUAUUUUAGAAUUGACUGGUUUAUGUUGAUAAUAAUUUGCGAUAGAAUUAGGAGUGAAAUCCUAGAAUGACAAUUAAAAUAUAAUUAUACAAUUAAAUACUACCACGGGUGAAAUCCUAGAAUUGACGGGCUUGAUUCGAUAUUAAUAUGGGAUGGUGUACUACGGGUGAAAUUUUAGAAUUGAAUGGUUUGGAUUGAUUAUACUUUGCGAUAGAACUAGGAGUGAAAUCCUAGAAUGACAAUCAAGUUAUUAUUAUACAAUUAAAUACUACCACGGGUGAAAUCCUAGAAUUGACGGGUUUGAUUCGAUAUUAAUAUGGGAUGGUGUACUAAGUGUGAAAUCCAAGAAACAACAAUCAAAAUACAAUUAUACAAUAUUAAACAUUUAACAAAAUAAACAAAUACAACUUAAAACUUUAAAAUUUGAGUUAUAAAAUUUUGUCUCGCGGUGAAUUAUACAUUUCAAUCAAACAAUAGCAUAAAUUUAUUAAAAAUCAUCCUAAAAAAUAUUCAAUUAUUUU